rnacentral:rRNA from 1 species
UAUAACAUAGAAUUAAUGCACUAGAUCCCAUUAGAACUUCAUAGUUAAGUGCACUUAGGCUAGAGUAGUACUGGGAUGGGUGACCGCCCGAGAAUUUCUAGUGUUUUAC